UAUCAGACUUGUUGCAAGGUUGUUCUAUCAAGUUUGAUACAGUCAUGAUACAGCAAUAUUGUUACAACCUUGUAACAUUCUUGUGAUAUCACGAGACUGCAUCAAACUUGUUGGAACAACCUUGUAACAAGUCUGAUA